GCGACUAGUUGCAUAAGCUCUGUCACUGGGGCUUCUCCUACCAUUCCUAUCCAACUAAAUCCUUUUAGGCAACCCCUUGCAGUAGAAGACAGUGCCCUGUUUCUUCCAUGCUACUCAAAUUGCUUCAUCUUUGGGAUUUGACUUACCUUCUUCAGAGUAUCUCAAGGAUGCCAUGAUUUGCCUCUAUUAAAACAUAGUAGCAGACUGAAGAUUACAAUGUUUAGACUAAGAAGCGCGCCCACGCGUGUAGCCUCGUCGUCAAUGAAAUGGAUUGAAAAUCAUGGUUCUCAGGUUCAAUUCCCAAACCGAAGCAAGAACAUUAGGUGAUUUCUCUUCAUUGCUCCAAUCCUUGAUGGACA
rnacentral:misc_RNA from 1 species